rnacentral:lncRNA from 1 species
AGAUUCGUCUCGCAAAAUACAACAAAACCGUGCAAUUAGUCUUUGAUUUCGUCUACAUUCAGUACUCCAUGCAUGUACCGCAAGUUUGAUGUGAUGGGGAAUCUUCUUUUUGCAUGGUGCCAAAGUUAGUAUUUUGGGAGAAACUAAACAGGGCCUAAGUUUUUCCAGGGAGUUUUACACAAGAUUGCAACGCACAAGAAUGAAAAGAAGAAAUAUUAGAUAGGCCAGGGGGCAGAUCAAAAGGCAGCCUUAUCAUCUUUUACCUCUUGCCAGAGGCACGGCAGGGGUGCGGCGCACCACCGGCGGCGCAUGGCUUGCCUCGUCGGCACUCGGCGCGGCGGGAAAAGGAGCUGGCGCAUGAGAGGAGCGGGUUGAGAGGGAAGAAAGGAGCCUCACCGGCGGUGAGCUGGAGGAACGGAGAUGCACGGGCGGCCAUUAAUGGCCUUCAAGCUUGUCCGGCCGUUUCCAGGGAGAGGAAAGGAGGGGGCGACAGUUUAAGGCCGGGAGUGGGGGAGAGGAGACGACGCAAGGUUGUGGAGGGGCUCGGGAAGGCCAAAGGUCGCUGGGAGGCGAGGGGCCCCGGCCGGCGGCGCACAGGGGGGCACACGGCACCCAUGCGUGCGUCCCUGGAGCCUGAACGGUUGGAGGUGGGGGUGGAGCUGACGGGUGGACUCCGCCAGUCAGUAGGAGGGAGAGGGGCUGGCCGGUUGGGCCACUUUGGGCUGGUUGUGGAGGGAAUCCUUUGGGCCGGCGCAUGGGAGGAAAAGGAGGGAGGUGGGUCGGCCGGAAUGGAAAGGGGAGAAGGAGAAGGUUUGGGCCCAAAGAGAGAGGAAAAGAAGAUUGAACCCGCAGAUUGGAUUGGAGGAGAAAAGAUUUAUAAAUUUUGAAACUUUUGCAAACAACACUUCACACAAAAACAAAACGAAAGAUAAAAACUUAUCAAACACUUGUCGCCUCUAAUAUUAAAUUCGAGUGCUCUUUAAUUAUUUAAAAACCGUAAUUUAAUAUUAGUAAUUUAUUUUAUUCCUUAGAAAAGAAAGUGCUAGACCACAUGUUGCUUACAUUGUGUUUGUGAUGGAAUUUUGGGCGUUACAGACGUCGUCCGCCACUAUGCAAACUAGUGGAUGAGUUGUUUAUUGAUCACG